rnacentral:snRNA from 8 species
AUCGCUUCUCGGCCUUUUGGCUCAGAUCAAGUGUAGUAUCUGUUUUUAUCAGUUUAAUAUUUGAUACGUCCCCCAUCGGGGGACUACAUAUUAAAUGGAUUUUUCGAACAGGGAGUCGGAAAUGGGGCUUGCUCCGUCCGCUCCACGCAUCGACCCGGUAUUGCAGUACCUCCGGGAACGGUGCAACACUU